GACGAACGCUGGCGGCGUGCUUAACACAUGCAAGUCGAACGGAAAGGCCUUUUCGGAGGUACUCGAGUGGCGAACGGGUGAGUAACGCGUGGGUGAUCUGCCCUGCACUCUGGGAUAAGCCUGGGAAACUGGGUCUAAUACCGGAUAGGACCGCACUUUAGUGUGUGUGGUGGAAAGUUUUUUCGGUGUAGGAUGGGCCCGCGGCCUAUCAGCUUGUUGGUGGGGUAAUGGCCUACCAAGGCGGCGACGGGUAGCCGGACUGAGAGGCUGGUCGGCCACAUUGGGACUGAGAUACGGCCCAGACUCCUACGGGAGGCAGCAGUGGGGAAUAUUGCACAAUGGGCGCAAGCCUGAUGCAGCGACGCCGCGUGGGGGAUGACGGCCUUCGGGUUGUAAACUCCUUUCGCCAGGGACGAAGCGUUUUGUGACGGUACCGGGAGAAGAAGCACCGGCUAACUACGUG
rnacentral:rRNA from 1 species